rnacentral:rRNA from 1 species
AUCCCACAAACUUGUCCUCAGUUCGGAUUGCAGUCUGCAACUCGGCUGCAUGAAGUUGGAAUCGCUAGUAAUCGCGGAUCAGCACGCCGCGGUGAAUACGUUCCCGGGCCAUG